rnacentral:lncRNA from 1 species
AUUAAACCCAUUAGAAAGUUUAGGAAAGGAUCCAAGAUAUUUUCACAACUGUCUUCCCAGGACUCUACAUUGUGAUGACAAAUUAAGGCUUAUGAGGUCACAGUCUUGAGGAAGCCAAUUUAUGUUUGGGGCAAACAGAUGUUUCUCAGAUGACUUAUCUUUUUCUCAUAAGCAGCAAAGAACACUGUUAUAAAUGUAAGAAGCAGAAGAAUCUGCAGGGCACCAGGCAUCCAUCUGGGGUGAAUUGGUGGGCGGGAGGAGGCAAGGUGAAAGACUGAUUUCUGCCAAAGAGCUGGCUGCCUUGGAUUUGGUGAAGGAGCAGCAAG